UUUUAUUGUAUACAUUUUAAAAAAUAGUAUUGAGUGGAAGUCUAUGGACUUUAAGAAUCCCUCCUCUGGGCACUGUGCUAAAAGUGCUGUGGUCGGGGGCAGCUGGGUAGCUCAGUGAAUUGAGAGCUAGCCCUAGAGACGGGAGGUCCUAGGUUCAAAUCUGGCCUCAGACACUUCCCAGCUGUGUGACCCUGGGCAAGUCACUUGACCCCCAUUGCCUACCCUUACCACUCUUCUGCCUUGGAGCCAAUACACAGUAUUGACUCCAAGAUGGAAGGUAAGGGUUUUAAAAAAAAUAAAAAAAAAAUAAAAGUGCUGUGGUCUAAGACUUCACUUUUCAUCAAUUUGAGAAAGAUGGUAGCACCUCAGCUGAGGACUCCAGAGCUUAGAAUAGUAGAGAAACAAUUCAAAAAACCUUAUAGCCAGUAGAGUCACAAUAGGUAGCAACCAAUAGCAAUCACAGGCCAAGCUGGGCAACAUUCCAUAGAAACAGCAUCCCACAAGAGAGCAGCAUUAGGAUCCAAGUCUAGGGGGAACGAUGCAAUGACUUCACCAGAACAAAACAUUUGUGACUGGCUCAGCAACACUGGAAAUGGAUUUCCUUUCUGCAUGUGCAGUCCAGUCAUAUGUUUCAUGCUUAUCUUUUCAUAUACACCAUGUAUGAAGUAUGGGCAAGGGCAUGAGGUUCCUGUUCUCUCUGCUAAACAUUUAGACCUGAAUUGCUUUAUUCAUUGGCUUCUCUAUCAAUCUUUCAGAUGUCUGCUGUUGUUGGACAGUUGUCUCAGUCAUGUCUGACUCUUGGUGAUCCAGUUUUUUUCUUGGGGUUUUCUUGGCAAAGAUACUGGAAUGAUUUGGUAUUUCCUUCUCCAGAUCACUUUACAGAUUAGGAAACUGAGGCAAACAAAGUGAAGUGACCUGCCCAGGGUCAUACAACCAGUAAGUGUCUAAGGCCAGAUUUGAACUCAGGAAGAUGUCUUCCUGCUCUAUACACAGCACCACCUAGUUGGCAACCUACCUCACUUUACUUAAAGACAACUAUGUGACUUCAGUACCCACUACCCCUAGGUCCCUUUCCUUCCUUCCUUCCUUCCUUCCUUCCUUCCUUCCUUCCAAUUUUCCUUUUUCCUUCCUUCCCUCCCUUUUUCCUUUUUCCUUUUUUCCUUCCUUCCCUCUCUUCCUUUCUCCUGACAUUUUAAGGUUACCUUUUAUAAUAAGACAGCUCACCUCCCUUGCCCUUGACACACAACUGGCCAACUUUCUUUUUCUGCCAUACAUGUUUUUAAGAGCAUAGUUGCUAAAUAAAUGAAUGGUUGAAUGCCA
rnacentral:lncRNA from 1 species